UACGUAGGGUGCAAGCGUUGUCCGGAAUUAUUGGGCGUAAAGAGCUCGUAGGCGGUUUGUCGCGUCUGCUGUGAAAACUCGGGGCUUAACUCCGGGCCUGCAGUGGGUACGGGCAGACUAGAGUGCGGUAGGGGAGACUGGAAUUCCUGGUGUAGCGGUGAAAUGCGCAGAUAUCAGGAGGAACACCGGUGGCGAAGGCGGGUCUCUGGGCCGUAACUGACGCUGAGGAGCGAAAGUGUGGGGAGCAAACAGG
rnacentral:rRNA from 1 species